rnacentral:tRNA from 1 species
UAUGCUGCAGCCUACUGGAAAAGGCAUCAGCCUCCAGAGCUGGCGGUUGUGGGUUCAAGUCCCACCUGGGUUA